rnacentral:rRNA from 1 species
CGACCAGAUUGAGUUUGAUCCUGGCUCAGGAUGAACGCUAGCGGCAGGCCUAACACAUGCAAGUCGAGGGGCAGCGCGGUGUAGCAAUACACUGGCGGCGACCGGCAGAAGGGUGCGUAACGCGUGAACAACAUGCCCGACACAGGGGGAUAAGCGGUGGAAACGCCGUCUAAUACCGCAUAACGCUUUUGGGCGGCAUCGCCCGGGGGCCAAAUUCGCGAGGAGGUGUCGGAUUGGUUCGCGAGACAUUAGCCGGUUGGCGGGGUAACGGCCCACCAAAGCGAUGAUGUCUAGGGGUUCUGAGAGGAAGGUCCCCCACACUGGAACUGAGACACGGUCCAGACUCCUACGGGAGGCAGCAGUGAGGAAUAUUGGACAAUGGUCGGAAGACUGAUCCAGCCAUGCCGCGUGAAGGUAAAGGUCCUAUGGAUUUUCAACUUCUUUUGUACGGGGGCAAUAAGGUCCACGAGUGGAUCGAUGAGAGUACCGUACGAAUAAGCAUCGGCUAACUCCGUGCCAGCAGCCGCGGUAAUACGGAGGAUGCGAGCGUUAUCCGGAUUUAUUGGGUUUAAAGGGUGCGUAGGCGG